GACGAACGCUGGCGGCGUGCCUAAUACAUGCAAGUAGAACGCAGUUGAGAACGGGUGAGUAACGCGUAGGUAACCUGCCUCAUAGCGGGGGAUAACUAUUGGAAACGAUAGCUAAUACCGCAUACUGUGAGAUGGACUUGCGUUGUAUUAGCUAGUUGGUGAGGUAAAGGCUCACCAAGGCGACGAUACAUAGCCGACCUGAGAGGGGGAUCGGCAACACUGGGACUGAGACACGGUCCAGACUCCUACGGGAGGAAGCAGUGGGGAAUAUUGCGCAAUGGGCGAAAGCCUGAUGCAGCAAUGCCGCGUGAGUGAAGAAGGCCUUCGGGUUGUAAAACACUUUCGGCAGGGAGGCGGUACCCGCAGAAGAAGCACCGGCUAAAUCCGUGCCAGCAGCCGCGGUAAUAC
rnacentral:rRNA from 1 species